AACAGAGAUUAUUUAUUCCAUGUCAUUGGUUACUUUAUGUGGUGCUUACAUAACUCUGCUCUUCUUCACUUUCUAUUCCAAAACGUUUCCAGGAAGUAUUUUCCAUGGAUGGUGAUUCCAAAGGAAAGAGAGAAAAGUACACUGACGUUGACCAAGACCUUGAGGGGACUAAGCGGGAAAGUGAGAGCAUCACAUAAUGAGAGCUGACGUCAAGGCUGGCCCAAUCAAGAAACGGUCUCAAAACCAUACAAUGUAGGAAACAGAAUCAUCACAAAGAAAAACAAUGUGAUCUUGGAACAGUGGCGACCUCAAAGCACAUCUCUACAUCUUGAUAAGAAAAAAGAGGAGACGUAGAAAAUCCCCCAGAGCCAGACUCCAGUUUGGCUUACGGUCUGUCAUAACAUCACAGGCAUCAGGAGUGGGCUCUUUGGUGAUGAGAGCGGAACUGAAAAUGGAAAUGGAAAUCAAACACACAGCCCCAGUCAGGUCCCAGGUUAGCUGACCUGCUCCUAAUGCCUGCUGGGCUCAGGCCAGGAUAUCGGUGGAGGCCCCUGGUCUGCGGCCCAUUCCCCUUCUCUUGCCAUCCCCAUCUGGUCAUUGUAACAAGGGGCCUCGCACAUGAGUGUGGACACCCGGGGCUGGAUGUCUGAGCUCCAACCAUGUCCACAUCUCAGCCACAGCUGGCCAUUCUCAGCCACAGCUGGCCAUUCUCAGCCGAGGCAUGGACACACAAGUGGCCCUAGGGAAGAUGAACUCAGUGCACGCCCUGGCAGCUAGCAACGGGGCAUUUGGGCAGAGAAUUAUAGAAAAGGAAGGAUCUGGGGGUCCAGGGUACAUGUCCCUUUGCCCUGCAGACCUCUUUCCCCUUUAGGGAGCCACAGCCAGAGUGGGUGCCUCUUGGAACAUAUGACCUUAUCUCUUUGGCCCAGAGAUGACAUGUUCUGCUAUCCCAAGUGUGAGCCGUUUUGGUCUCAGAAGAAAAGUCCCCUCGUCUUCCUUUCAGGGAAAAGUGCUGAAGAGGGCAGGAGACUGGUGGUUUGAGACCUACCCCUUAGAAAUCAUGUGACCCUGUGCCGUGACUGACCUUCCUAUACCCAGCCCUGUGUGUACAAAAUGAAGACAAAUACCUACCUCGCCACCUUGUUGGCAGGACUCAAAGGAUGACAAAGUGCCAAGCAAAUGGCUGUUUUCUUAUGGAGAGCCAGGGAGGUAAAUAUGAUUCAGGGGAAACAGCCCUGGGCCUAUGGAAAUGAUCAGUCUGUUCCAGGAAUAAUACCUACCUAAAGGAUGCUGUUAAGCACUGAAUAAGGAAGUGUGUGUGCAAAGGCACCUGGUACCCAGGAAGACCGCAAAAACUAUUCAUGGUGGAGGUGUUGGUGCUGGUGGUGCCAGGCACCUGCAGCAGGUAUUUGGCUAAAUUACGUAAUUUAAUGAUCACAGUAACCAAAGAGGUGCGUUCCUAUAGCUCAGAUGGAAAAAGUGGGACCAAGGUCACAGGGUUCAUGAGUGAGCAGUGAGGCCAGGAAACACAUGCCUGUCUGUCUGCAUCCGAUUCCUCUUCCUGCCACACUCAGCACCACCUCGCCAGUUGUCUUGCAGACUCUGGGGAUAAUUCAUUCACAACACUCUUACCUACUCACAGCAGGAAGCCUGUUCACAGCACCCCAGGCCAGAUCAGCCAUUGAGACAUUUAUACUAGAGACUGUGGGCCACCUGCUAUGCCAACAGACACACAAGAGCGCCUUGUGUUCCCGUCCACAUCAACUCAGCUCAUCAAAAAACCCAUCCCAGGGAAAAUGAACUUGCUGAUAAACCAACUAACUAAGCGUAACAAGAAAUAACAGCAAAUUUUGAGGCACUUUACCAGGAGAGUCACACCCAGGUACUUGUUGGACCCAAGAAGACUCAGGUAGCAAGGCAGGGAGUGGCUCAUGACAGCUGCCCGGAAGAGUCACGUCUAUUUAGUUCUCGAAAAUAAUGGAAAACAAACUCGGUUUUCGCAAGUGGUAUGCUGUGUACACUGAGUCCACAUCAGGUGUUCUUGAAUUCUCUGAUAAAUAAAAACCACAAGCAACUGUGGCACCACCGGGCUGGAGGGAAGCGCCGGCUCGCACCUGUCAAUACGAGCAGCCUGGGGGCCUUAUGGGGCAGACCCUUUUCCUGAACUAGUGGUGCUGGAGUGAACACCUUCCAGGUCCCCAGGGCUCGCCCCUCACCCUGAAAAGAUUAAAUCAUUUAUUUAUAAGAAAAUAUCUAACCCAAAUACAGCAGGCACUGGGGGGCACAGGGAGCCGUGGUUACAAUGCAAGCAACAUCUGGACUUGCAAACUCAUGAUGCUGCCACAAGAAGCGUGUGCAAGGAAGGUGUUCCACGGCACAGCAGGGGAGACAGAUUUUGUAGAAGAGGUCAAGGUGAGGAUGGCGCCUCAACAGAAUCUUCAAAACCAAAAGGCAAGUUGCAGUACCCGCUGACCCUCCGCCAUGCAGAGACUGCCGCAGACGCCGAAACACCCUCCUCCCCGUCAGGCUGGCUUGUCCCCGGGCAUCUGAACAAGCCAACCUGACAGGAUGGGUGCUCAGCGGAGGACACUCUCUGAGAAGCCUGAGAUGAUGGGGAAACCCACUCUCCAGGGCUGGCUUCCCGCGCAGCUGUUUGGAGAAAGAGCUACCCUGGAGAACCUUAGUCACUGCUACAGUUAUAGAGAAGACGGAGCACAGGAGUAGCUCCUCAGGGAGGAGGGACACAGACCACACCCCCAGCUUCUUGGUGACCUCCAAGGGAACCAGCUGGAACGGCAGCAAAUGGGCUUUUCCCCCGGCUUUUUCUCAGCUCGCUGUGAACCCGGCCCAGAUGCAUCCCAUGCUUACUCAUAGAGUAAAGCAAGCCAGCCAAUCACCUCUAGCCUGGGAACACCGCUAGUCAGGAGGCCUCAAUCGACCUGAGAAGUCAGCCCAAGGCCCUGUCUCCAGAAGCCCGCAGCAGAUCUCUGGGUCAUGUCACAGGCGAGUCCUCACUUCACCAGCUCAGAGGUGAGCCACUCUCACCUGAACCUCUGCCUUCCGGCAGGGACCUCCUGAGUCCUGUGGGGUCUCCUGGGUCCAGGUGGGUUCCUAGUCCCGCCCCGUCUAGACUGACUUCAAAUAUAGUCCCCUGACAGUGUGAUUUUUUCCAGCCAGCCAAAUCACCGUUCAUUUUUAAAAUGGUUUUUAAAAAUUACAUUUCUAAGGCAAACAACGUAGAACAGAGCAGAGGAACAACAAAAAAGCACAAAGAAUGUUGCUAAUCACAGGCUGCCUAGCACUUUCCUUUCCCUUCAGAGGAGAAACUGUUUUAUAGGUAUCACACACGUGCACACGCACACACACACACGCACAGUUUUUCCCUGAUACUGGAAAUUCUUUGUGAACUAGCCACGUUGAUUUCUGCUGAACCUUUAAAAAAAAAAAAAAAAAAAAAAAAGAAAGAAAGAAAGAAAAGGAGCCACAGACGUGUCCAGGUCUGGAAGGGGCUGACCAGCUCUAAGCACAUCCACCUUGAACUCUGACACAGGUAACGCCAAAAUGAGGCCAGGACCUGACCAAGCCAAAAAAGCAGCAAAGGAUCAGAUGGGGUCCAAUGUGUAGAUCCAGUAGGGAAGAAUGUCGGAAAUUCUAAAUACACAGUUGGACAUCCUUCA